GAUGAAGAACGCAGCGAAAUGCGAUAAGUAAUGUGAAUUGCAGAAUUCAGUGAAUCAUCGAAUCUUUGAACGCACAUUGCGCCCCUUGGUAUUCCGAGGGGCAUGCCUGUUCGAGCGUCAUUAUAACCCCUCAAGCUCAGCUUGGUGUUGGGGCCUGCUGCACUGGCAGCCCUUAAAAUCAGUGGCGGCGCCAUCUGGAUCUAAGCGUAGUAAUUCUUCUCGCUAUGGAGUCCUGGUGGAUGCUUGCCAUCAACCCCCAAUUUUUCUAUGGUUGACCUCGGAUCAGGUAGGGAUACCCGCUGAACUUAAGCAUAUCAAUAAGCGGAGGA
rnacentral:misc_RNA from 1 species